rnacentral:rRNA from 1 species
UUAAGCGACUAAGCGUACACGGUGGAUGCCCUGGCAGUCAGAGGCGAUGAAGGACGUGCUAAUCUGCGAUAAGCGUCGGUAAGGUGAUAUGAACCGUUAUAACCGGCGAUUUCCGAAUGGGGAAACCCAGUGUGUUUCGACACACUAUCAUUAACUGAAUCCAUAGGUUAAUGAGGCGAACCGGGGGAACUGAAACAUCUAAGUACCCCGAGGAAAAGAGAUCAACCGAGAUUCCCCCAGUAGCGGCGAGCGAACGGGGAGGAGCCCAGAGCCUGAAUCAGUGUGUGUGUUAGUGGAAGCGUCUGGAAAGGCGCGCGAUACAGGGUGACAGCCCCGUACACAAAAAUGCACAUGCUGUGAGCUCGAUGAGUAGGGCGGGACACGUGGUAUCCUGUCUGAAUAUGGGGGGACCAUCCUCCAAGGCUAAAUACUCCUGACUGACCGAUAGUGAACCAGUACCGUGAGGGAAAGGCGAAAAGAACCCCGGCGAGGGGAGUGAAAAAGAACCUGAAACCGUGUACGUACAAGCAGUGGGAGCACGCUUAGGCGUGUGACUGCGUACCUUUUGUAUAAUGGGUCAGCGACUUAUAUUCUGUAGCAAGGUUAACCGAAUAGGGGAGCCGAAGGGAAACCGAGUCUUAACUGGGCGUUAAGUUGCAGGGUAUAGACCCGAAACCCGGUGAUCUAGCCAUGGGCAGGUUGAAGGUUGGGUAACACUAACUGGAGGACCGAACCGACUAAUGUUGAAAAAUUAGCGGAUGACUUGUGGCUGGGGGUGAAAGGCCAAUCAAACCGGGAGAUAGCUGGUUCUCCCCGAAAGCUAUUUAGGUAGCGCCUCGUGAAUUCAUCUCCGGGGGUAGAGCACUGUUUCGGCAAGGGGGUCAUCCCGACUUACCAACCCGAUGCAAACUGCGAAUACCGGAGAAUGUUAUCACGGGAGACACACGGCGGGUGCUAACGUCCGUCGUGAAGAGGGAAACAACCCAGACCGCCAGCUAAGGUCCCAAAGUCAUGGUUAAGUGGGAAACGAUGUGGGAAGGCCCAGACAGCCAGGAUGUUGGCUUAGAAGCAGCCAUCAUUUAAAGAAAGCGUAAUAGCUCACUGGUCGAGUCGGCCUGCGCGGAAGAUGUAACGGGGCUAAACCAUGCACCGAAGCUGCGGCAGCGACGCUGAUGCGUUGUUGGGUAGGGGAGCGUUCUGUAAGCCUGUGAAGGUGUGCUGUGAGGCAUGCUGGAGGUAUCAGAAGUGCGAAUGCUGACAUAAGUAACGAUAAAGCGGGUGAAAAGCCCGCUCGCCGGAAGACCAAGGGUUCCUGUCCAACGUUAAUCGGGGCAGGGUGAGUCGACCCCUAAGGCGAGGCCGAAAGGCGUAGUCGAUGGGAAACAGGUUAAUAUUCCUGUACUUGGUGUUACUGCGAAGGGGGGACGGAGAAGGCUAUGUUGGCCGGGCGACGGUUGUCCCGGUUUAAGCGUGUAGGCUGGUUUUCCAGGCAAAUCCGGAAAACUAAGGCUGAGGCGUGAUGACGAGGCACUACGGUGCUGAAGCAACAAAUGCCCUGCUUCCAGGAAAAGCCUCUAAGCAUCAGGUAACAUCAAAUCGUACCCCAAACCGACACAGGUGGUCAGGUAGAGAAUACCAAGGCGCUUGAGAGAACUCGGGUGAAGGAACUAGGCAAAAUGGUGCCGUAACUUCGGGAGAAGGCACGCUGAUAUGUAGGUGAAGUCCCUCGCGGAUGGAGCUGAAAUCAGUCGAAGAUACCAGCUGGCUGCAACUGUUUAUUAAAAACACAGCACUGUGCAAACACGAAAGUGGACGUAUACGGUGUGACGCCUGCCCGGUGCCGGAAGGUUAAUUGAUGGGGUCAGCGCAAGCGAAGCUCUUGAUCGAAGCCCCGGUAAACGGCGGCCGUAACUAUAACGGUCCUAAGGUAGCGAAAUUCCUUGUCGGGUAAGUUCCGACCUGCACGAAUGGCGUAAUGAUGGCCAGGCUGUCUCCACCCGAGACUCAGUGAAAUUGAACUCGCUGUGAAGAUGCAGUGUACCCGCGGCAAGACGGAAAGACCCCGUGAACCUUUACUAUAGCUUGACACUGAACAUUGAGCCUUGAUGUGUAGGAUAGGUGGGAGGCUUUGAAGUGUGGACGCCAGUCUGCAUGGAGCCGACCUUGAAAUACCACCCUUUAAUGUUUGAUGUUCUAACGUUGACCCGUAAUCCGGGUUGCGGACAGUGUCUGGUGGGUAGUUUGACUGGGGCGGUCUCCUCCUAAAGAGUAACGGAGGAGCACGAAGGUUGGCUAAUCCUGGUCGGACAUCAGGAGGUUAGUGCAAUGGCAUAAGCCAGCUUGACUGCGAGCGUGACGGCGCGAGCAGGUGCGAAAGCAGGUCAUAGUGAUCCGGUGGUUCUGAAUGGAAGGGCCAUCGCUCAACGGAUAAAAGGUACUCCGGGGAUAACAGGCUGAUACCGCCCAAGAGUUCAUAUCGACGGCGGUGUUUGGCACCUCGAUGUCGGCUCAUCACAUCCUGGGGCUGAAGUAGGUCCCAAGGGUAUGGCUGUUCGCCAUUUAAAGUGGUACGCGAGCUGGGUUUAGAACGUCGUGAGACAGUUCGGUCCCUAUCUGCCGUGGGCGCUGGAGAACUGAGGGGGGCUGCUCCUAGUACGAGAGGACCGGAGUGGACGCAUCACUGGUGUUCGGGUUGUCAUGCCAAUGGCACUGCCCGGUAGCUAAAUGCGGAAGAGAUAAGUGCUGAAAGCAUCUAAGCACGAAACUUGCCCCGAGAUGAGUUCUCCCUGACUCCUUGAGAGUCCUGAAGGAACGUUGAAGACGACGACGUUGAUAGGCCGGAUGUGUAAGCGCAGCGAUGCGUUGAGCUAACCGGUACUAAUGAACCGUGAGGCUUAACCUU